rnacentral:misc_RNA from 1 species
UCAGGUGACAGGAAGCUGCUAUAAUAACACCCCCCCUUCCCCGAAGGUCACUACACACGCCCGCCCAACAUACACACCCACAACGUUUUAUAUACACUAUUGAGAACUAACAGUGACAUGUGUACGCAUGUACACGGUAUGUGUACAUAUAUUCAUUUUUUUCAGAUAUUCCGAGAAAACAAUGUUAUUACUAAAGACACAAAGUGUAGUGGGUAAGGAUUGUGCGUUGUGGUGGGUGGCGAGUGUUUGGGUGUGUGUGUGGUGCGACGCGUGACGGAACAUGCAGCCUACUCCAACACCGACCGCCACUCACAUCAAUAUUUACAAGAAACCCUCAGCUAGUCUAAGCAACAAGAUGGACAAUUAAAUUAGCCCAAAUACAAAAUUAAAUUAUUUAAAUAUUAACAAGCUGGGGUCAGAGAGCACGCUAAGUAACGUCUCAUCAUUCUGCGGAGAUACGAGAACCUCCCCCAAGAUGACUGCGGGCCAUGGGAGGUGCGGGCCCCGUGGUGCAGGGCCAGGCACUGCUGUACUGGGAGUGCCAGAGUACAGGCGCGGCUGAAACACUGACGGGAAGGUUUAGAGGAGCACCGAGGUUGACACAGGAUCCUAGCGAGGACCUUGUCGCCUGGAGGAACACCACUCCUCUACUGGCAUGCAGAUAAUGAGCAGAUAACAACUUGCGACGGAGAAGUGCUCGACACGAGCCGCCACCACCACCCAUCUGACAGCCCAGCUUCAACACCACAACCUGGCAGCCCAGCUUCACGACCACAACCUGGCAGCCCAGCUUCACGACCACAA